UCCGCCUGUUACCAAAAAACAUCGCCUCUUGAAAAAUAUAMGAGGUCCRGCCUGCCCAGUGACAAAGUUCAACGGCCGCGGUACCCUGACCGUGCAAAGGUAGCAUAAUCACUUGUCCCUUAAAUAGGGGCUAGUAUCAAAGGCACCACGAGGGCCAUACUGUCUCCUUUCUCCAAUCAGUGAAACUGAUCUCCCCGUGAAGAAGCGGGGAUAUAGCUAUAAGACGAGAAGACCCCAUGGAGCUUUAAGCAAUAUGUUCACCCUUUAAUAUAUACAUCAACUUAAUAAUAAAACCCUGAACACUAGCUUUGGGUUGGGGGGACCGCGGAGCAUAAUUUAACCUCCACGACAAACGGGCCACGCCCUUAUCCAUGAGUCACAACUCUAAGAAUCAAUAAACUGAUGUUUUAUGACCCGACUUUUCGAUCACGAACCAAGUUACCCUGGGGAUAACAGCGCAAUCUACUUCAAGAGCCCUUAUCGGCAAGUAGGUUUACGACCUCGAUGUUGGAUCAGGGUAUCCCAGUGGUGCAGCCG
rnacentral:rRNA from 1 species